GAUGAACGCUGGCGGCGUGCUUAACACAUGCAAGUCGAACGGUGAACGAGGGAGCUUGCUCCCUCCGGAUCAGUGGCGAACGGGUGAGUAACACGUGAGCAAUCUGCCCUGGACUCUGGGAUAAGCGUUGGAAACGACGUCUAAUACCGGAUACGAGACGCGAAGGCAUCUUCAGCGUCUGGAAAGAACUUCGGUCCAGGAUGAGCUCGCGGCCUAUCAGGUAGUUGGUGAGGUAAUGGCUCACCAAGCCUACGACGGGUAGCCGGCCUGAGAGGGUGACCGGCCACACUGGGACUGAGACACGGCCCAGACUCCUACGGGAGGCAGCAGUGGGGAAUAUUGCACAAUGGGCGCAAGCCUGACGCAGCAACGCCGCGUGAGGGACGACGGCCUUCGGGUUGUAAACCUCUUUUAGCAGGGAAGAAGCGAAAGUGACGGUACCUGCAGAAAAAGCACCGGCUAACUACGUGCCAGCCGCCGCAGUAACAC
rnacentral:rRNA from 1 species